CGUAGGGUAGGAUAUUCAGUCUUUUGUGCUCAUACCUCAACGGUGCCUAAUCA
rnacentral:tRNA from 1 species